UGAUAAGAUUUGUACCUCAUU
rnacentral:piRNA from 1 species